GACGAACGCUGGCGGCGUGCUUAACACAUGCAAGUCGAACGAUGAAGAAGAGAAACGCGAACUUCGGUUCAAAUUUCACUUCGGAUUAGUGGCAGACGGGUGAGUAACGCGUGAGCAACCUACCUCUUACAAAGGGAUAGCCUCGGGAAACCGUGAUUAAUACCAUAUGACACAUUCAUAAGGCAUCUUAAGAAUGUUAAAGCUACGGCGGUAAGAGAUGGGCUCGCGUCCCAUUAGCUAGUUGGUGAGGUAACGGCCCACCAAGGCGACGAUGGGUAACCGGCCUGAGAGGGUGAACGGUCACAUUGGCACUGAGACACGGUCCAAACUCCUACGGGAGGCGGCAGUAGGGAAUAUUGCACAAUGGAGGGAACUCUGAUGCAGCGACGCCGCGUGAGCGAUGAAGGAAUUCGUUUCGUAAAGCUCUGUUCUAUGGGAAGAAAAGGACUGUACCAUAGGAGAAAGCCCCGGCUAAAUACGUG
rnacentral:rRNA from 1 species